rnacentral:rRNA from 1 species
UACGGAGGGUGCAAGCGUUAAUCGGAAUCACUGGGCGUAAAGCGCACGUAGGCGGACUCUUAAGUCGGUGGUGAAAUCCUGGAGCUCAACUCCAGAACUGCCUUCGAUACUGAGAGUCUUGAGUCCGGGAGAGGUGAGUGGAACUGCGAGUGUAGAGGUGAAAUUCGUAGAUAUUCGCAAGAACACCAGUGGCGAAGGCGGCUCACUGGCCCGGUACUGACGCUGAGGUGCGAAAGCGUGGGGAGCAAACAGG